UGGGGAAUAUUGCACAAUGGGCGAAAGCCUGAUGCAGCAACGCCGCGUGAGUGAUGAAGGCCUUCGGGUUGUAAAGCUCUGUCUUCUGGGACGAUAAUGACGGUACCAGCGGAGGAAGCCACGGCUAACUACGUGCCAGCAGCCGCGGUAAUACGUAGGUGGCAAGCGUUGUCCGGAUUUACUGGGCGUAAAGGAUGCGUAGGCGGAUACUUAAGUCAGAUGUGAAAAUCCCGGGCUUAACUUGGGAACUGCAUUUGAAACUGGGUAUCUAGAGUGCGGGAGAGGAAAGUGGAAUUCCUAGUGUAGGGGUGAAAUGCGUAGAGAUUAGGAAGAACACCAGUGGCGAAGGCGACUUUCUGGACCGUAACUGACGCUGAGGCAUGAAAGCGUGGGGAGCAAACA
rnacentral:rRNA from 1 species